rnacentral:rRNA from 1 species
GAUGAACGCUAGCUACAGGCUUAACACAUGCAAGUCGCGGGGCAGCAUGGGGGUUGCUUGCAAUCCCCGAUGGCGACCGGCGCACGGGUGAGUAACGCGUAUCCAACCUGCCCUUCACCACGGGAUAACCCGGCGAAAGUCGGACUAAUACCGUAUGUUGUCCAUUGACGGCAUCCGAUUUGGACGAAAGGUUUGGCGGUGAAGGAUGGGGCUGCGUCCGCUUAGCUGGACGGCGGGGUGACGGCCCACCGUGGCGACGAUCGGUAGGGGUUCUGAGAGGAAGGUCCCCCACACUGGAACUGAGACACGGUCCAGACUCCUACGGGAGGCAGCAGUGAGGAAUAUUGGUCAAUGGGCGUAAGCCUGAACCAGCCAAGUAGCGUGCAGGAUGACGGCCCUAUGGGUUGUAAACUGCUUUUAUGCGGGGAUAAAGUGGCCCACGUGUGGGUUUUUGCAGGUACCGCAUAAAUAAGGACCGGCUAAUUCCGUG